AUGAGGUUCUUGUGCUGGAACUGUCGCGGACUGGGGACGGACGCGACAGUUGGCGAGCUGAAAUGGCUCGUUAGUAAAUAUCGUCCCUCCCUCCCCUUCCUUUUCGAGACGAAGAUGAGGGAUUCGAGAGCUCGGAACCUCAUGUGGUCGUUGGGUUACUCAGGAGCUUUUGCAGUUAGCAGUGAUGGAUUGAGUGGUGGGCUAGCUCUAUUUUGGUCCUCCUCUCUCUCGGUGUCAUUA
rnacentral:rRNA from 1 species